GAUGAACGCUGGCGGCGUGCCUAAUACAUGCAAGUCGAGCGAACAGACGAGGAGCUUGCUCCUCUGACGUUAGCGGCGGACGGGUGAGUAACACGUGGAUAACCUACCUAUAAGACUGGGAUAACUUCGGGAAACCGGAGCUAAUACCGGAUAACAUGUUGAACCGCAUGGUUCAACAGUGAAAGACGGUCUUGCUGUCACUUAUAGAUGGAUCCGCGCCGUAUUAGCUGGUUGGUAAGGUCACGGCUUACCAAGGCAACGAUGCGUGGCCGACCGGAGAGGGUGAUAGGCCACACUGGAACGGAGACACGGUCCAGACUCCUACGGGAGGCAGCAGUAGGGAAUCUUCCGCAAUGGGCGAAAGCCUGACGGAGCAACGCCGCGUGAGUGAAGAAGGUCUUCGGAUCGUAAAACUCUGUUAUUAGGGAAGAACAAAUGUGUAAGUAACUAUGCACGUCUUGACGGUACCUAAUCAGAAAGCCACGGCUAACUACGUG
rnacentral:rRNA from 1 species